UACGGAGGGUGCAAGCGUUACCCGGAUUUACUGGGUGUAAAGGGCGUGUAGGCGGUCUCUCAAGUCCGAUGCUAAAGACCAAGGCUCAACCUCGGGAGUGCGUUGGAUACUGUGAGGCUAGACGGUCGGAGAGGGUAGCGGAAUUUCCGGAGUAGCGGUGAAAUGCGCAGAUACCGGAAGGAACGCCAAUAGCGAAAGCAGCUACCUGGACGAUUUGUGACGCUGAGGCGCGAAAGCGUGGGGAGCAAACCGG
rnacentral:rRNA from 1 species